UGAGCGGUUCGGAUUCUUCGAGGCAACGGCAUAAAGGAUUUUUGGUCAGAAUUUUUUAUACUUCUCUAAUUUGGUCUUCUCGAUUUUACGAAAAGCUUUUUUCGGUAUUUUCUUGAGAGUUUUCGUUGGAACAAGAGAAAGGUGGGAUCAUCAUAAGACUCUUGAUUUUUAUCCGGAGAAGAUAUAAGGUGUAAGCUUGUACUUAUAUUUCUUCGUAUAGUGGAAUACAUCUCUCUCGCUCUCUCCGUGGAUGGAGGCAAUUGCCGAACCACGUAAAUCUUGAUUUUUUCUUUCUGCGUUUAUUUCUUUUACCAUUCGUUCAAUUUUCUCUAUUCUUUCGUGCAUCUUUGUUGGUAGUGCAUGAUGGACGAUUCAUCCGGUUCCCAACAAUCCUAAUUAAAGAAAUCACUAAAUAUUAGAAUG
rnacentral:lncRNA from 1 species